CCUACGGGAGGCAGCAGUGAGGAAUAUUGGUCAAUGGCCGAGAGGCUGAACCAGCCAAGUCGCGUGAGGGAAGACGGCCCUACGGGUUGUAAACCUCUUUUGUCGGGGAGCAAAGCGAGUCACGUGUGACUCAUUAAAAGUACCCGAAGAAAAAGCAUAGGCUAACUACGUGCCAGCAGCAGCGGUAAUACGGUGGAUGCGAGCGUAAUCCGGAUUUGUUGGGUUUAAAGGGUGCGCAGGCGGAGGUGCAAGUCAGCGGUCAAAUUGCGGUGCUCAACCCCGUACUGCCGUUGAUACUGCAUCCCUUGAGUGCGCGAGAAGUAUGCGGAAUGCGUGGUGUAGCGGUGACAUGCAUAGAUAUCACGCAGAACUCCGAUUGCGAAGGCAGCAUACCGGCGCGCAACUGACGCUCAUGCACGAAAGCGUGGGUAUCGAACAGGAUUAGAUACCCCUGUAGUC
rnacentral:rRNA from 1 species